GCAGUGACAGCCAUGUCCUUCCACAUUAGACUUCUUGGAAAGAAGACUUUGCUCUGCCACCCAGAAUGGAGUGUGCAGUGGCACAAUCAUGGCUCACUGCAGCCUGAAACUCUUGGGCUCAAGCGAUCCUCCCGCCUCAGCCUCCCAAGUGGCUGAGACUACAGGAACACACCACCACACCUGGCUAAAUUUUUUAAUUUUUCUAGAGACAAGGUCUCACUAUAUUGCCCAGGCUGAUCUUGAACUCCUGGCCUCAAGCAAUUCUCCUUCCUCAGCCUCCUAAAGUGUUGGGAUUACAAGUGUGAACCGCUGUACCUGGCAAAAAUGCUAUUUUAAUUGAGAUUAUAUGACAGUUGUAGAUUAUUUUGAUAAAGAACUGAUUACAUUACAAAAUCAAUUCUUCCUAUAUAAGAACGGGAUAUAGCAUUCCAUUUAUUUCGUUAUUUCAUUCCUUUCUCUUCUUUAGUAUACAUUAAAACCUGCAUAUUAGUUGUUAGUAUUCCUUGGUGUUUUAUCUCAUUACUAUAUAUUGCAUCAUAUGUGUGUAUGGAUAAAUGUGUGUAUGUAUACACAGUCACACAUGCACCUAUACCUUAAAAUAUAAUGUUAAAGUAGAACCAUUCUCUUCACUUCUCACAAAAGUUUUUUUUUUCCAUUGGGACUAGACAUUGAAUUUUGUCUGAAGACUCACUAACAAUAUAUGGAGCUGACCAUAUGGCUUUUUUCUUUUGAGUUUCUUUUGAAGAAUUAAAUACUAGAAGUUUGGAUGUUAAGCCAACUUUUAUGACUUGGCUAAAACCCAAUUGUCCAAAGUGUAUUAUUCUUUUAAUACAUUGUUGGCUUUUAUUUAUUACUAUUUUUUUCAAAUUUUAUUUUACUAUUCAAAACACCAAUGUGCACUCGUCUGUCUUCAUUCAAUUUUAUAUUACUGAAUAAUGACAUAAUGAUAAAAGGAUAAUAUAAUGAUAUAAUGAUGUUAUUCUGUCUUUGUAAAUUCC
rnacentral:lncRNA from 1 species